CAACUACCCCCUCUGUCCCAAAUUACUUGUCUUAGAUUUGUCUAGAUAUGGAUGUAUCUAAUACUAAAAUGUGACUUGAUACAUCUAUAUUUAGACAAAUUUAAGACAAGAAUUUUGGGUCAGAUGGAGUACUUU
rfam:Triticum aestivum genome assembly, contig: Triticum_aestivum_CS42_TGACv1_scaffold_307512_4AS